rnacentral:rRNA from 1 species
AACCCUAUCAAACUCCGAAUACCUUAUAUGUAAUCACAGCAGUCAGGCGGCGAGUGAUAAAAUCCGUCGUCAAGAGGGAAACAACCCAGACUACCAGCUAAGGUCCCUAAAUCUUACUUAAGUGGAAAACGAUGUGAAGUUACUUAAACAACCAGGAGGUUGGCUUAGAAGCAGCCAUCCUUUAAAGAAAGCGUAAUAGCUCACUGGUCUAGUGAUUUUGCGCGGAAAAUAUAACGGGGCUAAAGUAAGUACCGAAGCUGUAGACUUGCACACAACUUAGAUUAUUUAAGUUUAGAAUAUGAGAAACUAAGUUAUAUGUUUAGUUAUAUUUUUACUGAUUUUUAUAGAGUAAAGAUAGAAAUAAAACUUAGUAAAAUCAGUAAAAAUAUUCUUAGGCUAAAGUUAAGUAGUUUAAGUUGUGUGCAAGUGGUAGGAGAGCGUUCUAUUUGCGUCGAAGGUAUACCGGUAAGGAGUGCUGGAGCGAAUAGAAGUGAGCAUGCAGGCAUGAGUAGCGAUAAUUAAUGUGAGAAUCAUUAACGCCGUAAACCCAAGGUUUCCUACGCGAUGCUCGUCAUCGUAGGGUUAGUCGGGUCCUAAGUCGAGUCCGAAAGGGGUAGACGAUGGCAAAUUGGUUAAUAUUCCAAUACCAACAUUAGUGUGCGAUGGAAGGACGCUUAGGGCUAAGGGGGCUAGCGGAUGGAA